rnacentral:rRNA from 1 species
UGGGGAAUUUUGGACAAUGGGCGAAAGCCUGAUCCAGCAAUGCCGCGUGUGUGAAGAAGGCCUUCGGGUUGUAAAGCACUUUUGUCCGGAAAGAAAUCCUUGGCUCUAAUACAGUCGGGGGAUGACGGUACCGGAAGAAUAAGCACCGGCUAACUACGUGCCAGCAGCCGCGGUAAUACGUAGGGUGCAAGCGUUAAUCGGAAUUACUGGGCGUAAAGCGUGCGCAGGCGGUUUGCUAAGACCGAUGUGAAAUCCCCGGGCUCAACCUGGGAACUGCAUUGGUGACUGGGCAGGCUAGAGUAUGGCAGAGGGGGGUAGAAUUCCACGUGUAGCAGUGAAAUGCGUAGAGAUGUGGAGGAAUACCGAUGGCGAAGGCAGCCCCUGGGCCAAGUACUGACGCUCAUGCACGAAAGCGUGGGGAGCAAACAGGAUUAGAUACCCUGGUAGUCCACGCCCUAAACGAUGUCAACUAGUUGUUGGGGAUUCAUUUCCUUAGUAACGUAGCUAACGCGUGAAGUUGACCGCCUGGGGAGUACGGUCGCAAGAUUAAAACUCAAAUGAAUUGACGGGGUCAUAGCUGUUUCCU